ACAUAUUCCAGGUGGAUGGUGACUCUAAGACCAGGAUUCAACACACUUAGAAGGCUUUGACUCUGAUACCAGUCACAGAAGGCUCUGUGAGUCUUCUAUUUUCUCUAGGUCAUGCAAAUGGAGGCGGAUUUUGACAUAUCAUAAAGCCAACAUAAUACACAGUCUACAGGUGGAAUUGGGACUCUCAUGCAUGGAUCCAGUUCAUCAUUGAUACUGUGACUCAUGUACUUGGAUGCAACUCACAGGAGGUGUUGACGCUUUUACCUGAAGCUGGGACAUGUGUGGAAUUGUGAAUCUUAGCCCUAGAUCUUCCCACAGGUCAUGCAAAUGGAGGGGGAUUGUUACAUAUCAUAGGGCCAACACAAAACUAAUGUAAAACUCCUGCCUGAGCCAUGCCCAUAGAAGGCAUUGUGACAUAUCACCAGUCACAGCACUCAGGUGAUGUAACUCUCUUUCCUGAGCCCCGCCUGCAAGGCAUAUUUUAACAUAUCUUUAGCCUAGAAUUUAAAAUAUGUGACUCUCUUGUUUCUUUUCCACAGGUGGGAUUUUGACAUAUAACUGCACCCAGCACACGGGUGAAGCAUCUUGUAUGCUCAUCCUGCCAAAAGUUAUGAGUGUCACCCUCACACAUGGACAGAGACCUCUGGUUAGGUCUUGAAUCUUGUACAUGGACACAGUCCACAGUUG
rnacentral:lncRNA from 1 species